UUUCUUGUCACAAUUCUCUCUCAAGCUUAUCUUCCCUCUAUCAUCUCUUUCUUUCUUCUUGUUCAAAACAAAAACAAAAAUCAGAACUUUGACAAAGAAGCUCUAGAUCGAUCUUGGUUGCAUGUUUUACAAUGAAGUGCCAAAUCGAUUAACCACCUCAUGAAGAGUGUUCUGUUUGAAGAUCUGGAUCCGCUAAUGCUUUGGAUGCAAUAAAGACCCGGAUUCGAAUCAUUCGAUGAAGACCCAUAUUCAAUGAAGAGAAAGAUUGUGGUGGUGUAUUGGCGGUGUGGGGGUCAAAAGGUUCGAUUUGUUUUUCUUGGGGGGGGGGGGGGGGUUCUUCCGGUGGUGGUGGGUUUGACAGCGACGGUGGUGGUGGGUUUUGACGGCGACUGUGGUGGUGGGUUUUGACGGCAGUGGAGCCUGGCGAUGGUUUCCUUCCCGUUGGUUCGGGUUUCACGGCACGGGUUAGCUCGAUCAAACAGACAACUCGGUCAACUGUCGGGUGCACUCGGUCAAAGCUGGUCAGCCGUUUCAGUCACGGUUCAGUCUUGCUUCGGGUUCGGGUCAGCGGGUUAACUUGUAUUUAUAAUUUGUUGCUUCGGGUUCGGGUUAGCGGGUUAACUUGUAUUUAUUAAUUGUAAACGUAGAAUCAUAUGAUUAUGUUGUUUCGUUUAUUGUGUAUUGAAUUUUGAAAACUAUAACGAUAACUUGUAUUGUCGGGAUCGUCCAAAAA